GCAGACUGUCAUAGAGUGGUCCCAGGUGCGCUUCCUCAGGGAGAUCAUCGAGGCCAUGUUGAAAGCCUAUCAGCAGAAGCUCUUUGUGACUCACACAGUUGACGAAUUGCUCUGGGGCUACAAAGAUGAAAUCUUGUCCCUUAUCCAUGUUUUCAGGCCCGAUAUCUCUCCCUAUUUUGGCCUAUUCUAUGAGAAAAAUGGGACUAAUGAUGGAGACUAUGUUUUUCUAACUGGAGAAGACAGUUACCUUAACUUUACAAAAAUUGUGGAAUGGAAUGGGAAAACGUCACUUGACUGGUGGAUAACAGACAAGUGCAAUAUGAUUAAUGGAACAGAUGGAGAUUCUUUUCACCCACUAAUAACCAAAGAUGAGGUCCUUUAUGUCUUCCCAUCUGACUUUUGCAGGUCAGUGUAUAUUACUUUCAGUGACUAUGAGAGUGUACAGGGACUGCCUGCCUUUCGGUAUAAAGUUCCUGCAGAAAUAUUAGCCAAUACGUCAGACAAUGCCGGCUUUUGUAUACCUGAGGGAAACUGCCUGGGCUCAGGAGUUCUGAAUGUCAGCAUCUGCAAGAAUGGUAAGAACUCAGAGAGGGGACAUGAUAGGGGUGUCAAGAAUGCAGAAGGAUUGGAGUUCAACAAAGAAUAUGUAGCUGGGCAUAGUGGCGCACACCUACAGUCCCAGCUACUAAGGAUGCUGAGGUGGGAUGAUCACUUGAGCCCAGGAGUUCUCAAGUCCAUCCUGGGCAACAUGGCGAGACCACUGUCUCUAAAAAACAAAACAAACAAAAAAGAAUAUAUUGUCAGCCCAAUAGAAAGAUCAGUUUCUUUCAAGAACAAUGUUUCAUAACAUGGCUAUUGAAUGGUAAAAAAAAAUCAUGGCUUUUCUGUGAUGCUUUUUAUUUCUAGAAUGCCAUGUUGUGUUUUUUUUUCUGGACAGUGGUUUAGAAGUCUUAACAGUAAUAAUAGCUCAUGUUUACUAAGCACCUGAUGUAUGCCAGUCACUGUCCUAAGUGCUUUACAUAUUUACAUGUAGUUAAUGCAUGCAAAACAUUAACUGAUUUCAUGUUCAAAACAAUGCUAAGGCUGGGCACGGUGGCUCAUGCUUGUAUUCCCAGCACUUUGAGAGGCCGAGAUGUGAGGAUUGCUUGAGGCCAGGGGUUCAAGAUCAGCCUGGGCAACAUAGCAAGACCCUGUCUCUACAAAAAAAAAAAAAAAUUAAAAAAUUAGCUGGGUGUGGCGGCACACACCUGUAGUUACAGCUGCUCAGGAGGCUGAGGCAGAGAGAUUGCUUGAACCCAGGAGUUCAAGGUUGCAGUGUGCUAUGAUUGUGCUACUGCACUCCAGCCUGGGCAAUAGAGUGAUUCCGCACCUCCCCACCAAAAAAAAAAAAAAAGCUAAAAGAAAAAGUGGACAACUCAGUUUUAAGAAAGUACGUAUCAUGGCAAAGAUUCUCAGUGAUUUUGAAGCAGAGUUAGUUUUAAACCCUGACACAAAUGUCCCAGUGUUUCUUAAUGUCAGAGCUACUCUGCUCCUUUCCAUGAAUGAGGCAGAAUUAUCAGUGGCACAACUGACAAAACUAUUUUCUUCAUCUUGAAGAGUAGUUUUAACAGCCACAUGUUGCAGAAUUAUUCACAAUGAACUUACUAGAUAGUAGACAUUCAGCGGCCUGUUUUUAUAAUUGGGGAAACUAGGGCGCAGAGAGGGAACGUGAUUUUGAUGCGACUCCUCCCUCUGAGCAGAUCCCUGGCGGAACUCAGGGUCUUCUCAUAUUUGCCCUGUGAUUCCCUCUUGGGCUGUAAUUCCUCUUUAAAAUUUCUCUGGAGAGCUCUCUGUGUAGUCCCUUUCUCCUGAAUAAAGUAAUGUGCUCACUUUUGCUCCCUUAUCUAACUCAUUUUAAAAUCUCCUUUCAGGCCUGGCAUGGUGGCGUGUGCCUGUAGACCCAGCUACUCAGGAGGCUAUGGUGGAAGGGUCAUUUGAGCCCAGUUUGAUUCUAGCC
rnacentral:sRNA from 1 species